CAAGAAGAUAUUUGUGUUUCCUUCAUCAACAAGCCUUGUAAUUGAGAAUCUUUUAAGAUAUUUUAUCAAAAAAACUUUAAAGAUUUCCUUUCCUCUUCCGGUUUAAAGUUCUUCUUUAUCUUCUAUAAAAGGGAAAGAUCAUUCUUAUUCAAUGUAAUGAAUCAAGAUGCUUUCAAGAUACAGCCUAUAGAAGAAUCUUUACAAAGAUAAUAGGCAAAAAGAAGCAGAGCUUGGCGAUCGAACGUUACACGGGAAGACGCGUUCAACCAACAAGACGACGAACAAUCAAGCUAGAUGAUCUAAUGUACUAGCAAACAAAUUUGGUUGACGCGAAUGUUAGGAAAAGGACAAAAUGAUGUAUGCACAACAUGAUUCAACUUAUUAAGAGGCAUUAAUGAGGUGUAGAAUGUUUUGUCAACAUCACCUCCCGUCUAUAAAUAGAAUACUCUUACUUCAUAACAAAGUGUGCAAUCUUUGGACGAAGAGCAAGUUUAUUGUCUUCCAUUCUUUCUUUUUGAGUUCUAGGUGAGAGCUUAGAACAACAAGAGAGAGGGAGUUUCCCUAACAACCAGGCAAAAAUCAUAGCCAAAGAGUAUGAGAAAUCAUACUUUACUGCUUGAUACACUUCUUUAUAUUUCAUUUUAUGUUUUUAUUGUGUUACUUUGUAAUAUGUACUCUAUGGCUGAGAGACCUAAAGAUAUGUUUAUAAUAGUGCAUUUCUUCUAUAAUU